UACAGAGGUCCCGAGCGUUGUUCGGAUUCACUGGGCGUAAAGGGUGCGUAGGCGGGUCUUUAAGUCAGGGGUGAAAUCCUGGAGCUCAACUCCAGAACUGCCUUUGAUACUGAGGAUCUUGAGUACGGGAGAGGUGAGUGGAACUGCGAGUGUAGAGGUGAAAUUCGUAGAUAUUCGCAAGAACACCAGUGGCGAAGGCGGCUCACUGGCCCGGUACUGACGCUGAGGAGCGAAAGCUAGGGGAGCAAACGGG
rnacentral:rRNA from 1 species